GUGGGCUGGACCGUACCAUACCUCAGGCGGCUAGUCACCGGCUUCCGACCGAGAAGACUCGGGUUCACGGCCAGGUUCCCACGGCGACAAUAAAGAUGACUUCGUCUCGUCUCCCUAAUGACAGAAGCAGCAAGCACCUCCGAAGCAUCGGUAAAUUUCUACCAGACUACACAGCGAAACAACCCACAAGACUUUCAUUUUCACGUGACAUCUCAGUCAGGGCAGAAGGAAGAAGUGAUGCCAGUCCGCCGAAUCCUCUAGUGCUGGCGUCUGUCUUGCUGCCAAGAGCGUCCACGAAGCGCAGCCCACGUCUGGGGUCUGUCGUCUCGUAGCAUCCCCUGGCUAAUGAAUGGGACAAGAUGCAAAAUUUGUUCAUUUACUUUCAAACACGCACAAACACACCAUGUGUUUUCAGGCACAAGAUGAAUGUUUCUGUAUUUAUGUCUUUCUCGUUUAUUUGCAUUCAGAAUACUGUUAACGAUCUAUUAUUAUAAAUUUAAAAGAUUUGUGACCUCGUGACCUUAAGAUUUUCGCGGUCUGACUCCAGGCCUAAUGAAUAGGACAUACGCAGAAAACAGAUGGCGAAUCUUUGCUUUUAUGCUGACAGAAUAACAAUAAAACCUAACUUACUUUACCGGGAGAUCAGCCAAAUGCUGGGUCGGAGAACCAUGGGUAUGAUACCUGGUCAGGGUUAUGGCACACGUCAUGGAUCAUAAUGGAGAAAUAUCACAAUGAUAAUUAUUAGAAUAAAUCCAAAGAUCUCAGGAAAACCUGCUUCAGUGUCAAUUCAUCUACUACGAAACUCACUUAAAGUCACCCCGGUUUGAAACAUUCUCCAUGCUAAGAACAACAUAUACAAUUAGUCAGUUGUGAGGCAUUCUGUCAGUCAAGUGAUAAGA